CCACCCUGAGAGUCCUCUGGAGCCUGUCUGCCCUUCUGGAAUCCAGGUGCAGAUAUACCAGGGAUUUUCCCUGAAUCCUUGCUGGAAAGCAGGUGGGCUGCCCACCCAGGGCACAGAGUACAGCACUUAAAACGCCAGUUAUAAACAUAGUGCCCACAAAAUUCAGGCCUGAGGUCUUUAAAUGGGCUUAAGAAGGGUUUCAAGGCAGCAUCUACAUGGGCCCAACUGUAGUGAAGAUAGUGACUCAGUCCAGGCUUGAGUCCAAAGAAUGGAGCAUUUUAUUCAACAGAAUAAGCCAGCACAAGGAUUGAAAGGUCCAUAGCUGACCUGCUGGAGUGUCCUAGUAGUCUGUUGAUGAUGCUAGUCAAGAAUAUUGCAACUUCUGCUGUCUCCAGCCCUUUGACCUCAAACGUGCAAGGUUGAAAAUUCAGAUCCCAUCUGGACCCAGUGAAUGUGUGACUUGAAAGAAGGCAAAUGAAUGAAGCCUUCCAUGCUCUGGAGCUCCAGCAGAGAGGUUCUGCAGAUCACCUGGGAAAAUCCCAGUUCUAAGAUGGGCAGGGAAGGCAAGGCAAGGCGAAGCAAGAUCAAGAUGCUGUGCUGCAGGGCCAGAAGUGAGUAGAACAUCUUGUUACGGAAAUAGCUCCUCCCUGCAUUAGAAAAGCAGCUAUUUAAAGCAGGAUCAAUUGCCAGUCCUCUUUGCCACUGUUGUCAUUUGGAUGUGGCAUGUGCAAAUAAUAUUUCCUCAUGAAAGAAAACUUCCAGCAAUGACAGCACUGCUCUGGCCUAUCCUCCUGAGAAGGGGAGAAAUCAGCUCAUCCACAGAAAUGGCGUCUCCCUCUGAAAAGAUCCCCAGGAUCUGGCUUUUGUUUUUCGUCUGAGACUUUAGGCAAGUGGAUUUUGAUCUGCCGAUGACAUCAGGAUGGUGCAGCUUUUAAGAUGUGUUUGAACAUUGGAGUUACGUAGGACAGUGCUAAAGUAAAAAUACAUGGAGAAAAUGAACAAACCUAUGUAACAUAGAGCAAAGCCCACUUUCCACAAAGAUAUGCAUAAUAAAACUGGCAGUAUAUGCCUUUGAAAGAGAUUGCUUUAUGUUUAAUUAUGUCAGUGAGCAAAAAUCUUUUUAUUCUUGGCAAAUUACAGUGGGGUGGUAUCUUUCAAAAAACUGGAAUUAUCAAAGAGAUUUUCCAGGGAGAUGAACCCAUGCUUGAUUUAAGCACCGUCAAACUUUCCUCUAGUUGAGAUUCACAUCUGUAUCCCUGCUCUCAACUCAAGCCUGCUGCUGUUUGUUAUUGUUUGCAUUACUUGAGGGCCCACUUAGGGAUUGUACAAAAUGUUCUUUAAAAAAAAAUAAAUAUUGAAGUGUUCAUACAGAAUUUGAGAGAAACACACUCCUUUUGAAAGGUGCUGCCAUCUGAUCAUUGCAGAAGUACAGAAAAGAAAUCUUGGGGGCAUGCAGGGUGCUGAGGCUUUGGGGAUAAAUGUUUUCACAGUAUUAGGGGCUAGGAAUCAUCCUCAUUUCCAUGUAAGCCCCUGUACCAAGUGAAGGGAGAGCAUGAAACCUUUGAGGAGCAUUUAUAUGUCCUAUGUAAGUGAACUUAGAGAACUCACUGGAUGCAGGGAUUGGAAGAGAUUUAGACCACCUGAGCCUGGAUUUUAGAGCUAAGGAUCUCUUCUUCUAGCAAGUCCUAGCUGAGGAAGAAUUGUUGAACAACCCUGUUGCUAUGUCCUGAAGGCUGUGAAGAUACAGCAGAGUUGAUGAAGAUACCGGAGAUACAGAUCAUUCUCUUGUCUCUCCUAUGUUUAUCUCCUUUUCUCUAAACUCCUUGUUUUAUUUUUAUUGGGAUUUUCUUUGGAUUAACCCUAUUAAAUGCAUCACUAGCCCUGAAAUUUGCCGAUGCCAAUAAACCCAUCUGUUUUAUUAACUAA